CACAAGCAAUCUAAAUGGUGGUAUCCAAUGGUACUUUCUCCUCUCUGUGAAAACACGUUGCAACACUAAUGUUUAGCACGUGUGCUAUAGAAGUGAACAAAAAAUAGCUUCUAUCCCCUUUGCUUCAUUACUGUACAAAAAUGCCACCAAAAUUCAAUCCCUCGGAGGUGAAGUCGAAGCGGUGAGUUUUCAGCCCACUUAGUCUUUUCCCAAAGAAAGUACAAAUUUUACAAAGGACUGGAAAGGGUCUUCGAGUCGUCGUCUAAAACUGUCUAAUUUUUAUCGUGGAAAAAAAUAUUUUGUUUGAAGAUGAGGUUAAAUUUUGAAUUCUUCUGAAUAUGGUAUGAUCGAUUAUGUUUCUUCUUAGAGAUUACUGAUUUAGACAUAUCCAAUCAUUCAACUGAAGCAUGGAAGAGCGAACAAGUGAAGUACGAAGUACGAACGCUGCAUCAAAAAAUGUACCAUCUGCAAUACUAAUUAACAAGGGCACCUUUGUAAUUUGAUUGAGAAAAUACAUCUUGUCACCUUUAAAUUUGUCCGCAAAACUUACUUUAGAACUUUAAUUUUAUGAAUAAUUAUUGAACCCCUUAACAACUUUAUAGUAUAUUAAUUUUAACCCUUAAGGCUGAUGUGACAUAAAAAAAUUAAAAAACGCACAAGUCUUAUUUUUUUUUUUUUAAAUCUCAUUUUAUAUUAUAUAUAUAAAGAAAGAAAGAGAGAGAGAUCAGAAAAAAAGAAAGAAAAUUAAAAAAAAUGCUCCCCCCUACGCCUCUUCUCUUUUCCUCACCCCGUUUCAAACCCCAUUUUUCUAACCCCGCCUCCUUUCCCCACCCCAUUUCAAUCCCUACUUUUCUAACUCCGACAAUCACCUUCACCAUAAACAGCCCCACCUCUUUAAUAUUUAUGUUAAAUUCGAACACCUCGAGCUUGCGUUGAUUUCAAUUGUUUAAAUUUACAAGCCAUUAAAGUAGAGCACAGUGGUGUCAAUUUGAAAAGGGUUCUUUGAUUUGAAUUUUAAUGUGCAAAAUUAAUGUUGAUCUUUAUAUUUUUAAUGUUUUACUAUUUUUAGCGGAGCUUUACCGUGAAACUUUCUGAUUUGAUUACAUUUGUGAAUAUGAAAAACUUGGAAUGAAAUUGAAAUUGGAAGGGAGUUUAGUUUGAUUAUCUUUGUGGUUAUGAACAAUUGGAAUGGAAAUGGAAUUAGAGGAAAUUCGUUAGCGGGGAUAAAAAAAUAUGGUGUGUUAAUGGUGGUGGUAAUGUGUUAAUGGUGGCAAUGUUAAAAUAUACAUAGAGAAUGAAUGGAGAGAGGAGGUCCACAGAUUGAGACGCGAAAAACUAGUAUGGAAUCAAGGAGAAAACAGUGAAAAGGGAGGGGAGUUGAAGGUAUAGAGGAUACGUAUANNNNNNNNNNNNNNNGGGAAAGAGGGAGAUAAGAAGGAAAGAGAGAUGAGAGAUGGAGAUAGAGAAAAACAUAGAGAGAUAGAGAAAAAGAGUUGAGAUUUUUCGGUGAAGUUUUGCCGGAAAUGACAUCUCUGACCGACGGAGAAGAGAGCGGGUUGACGAAGAAAGUGAGCUUUUUUUUUUUUUUUUUAAUUUUUAUCAUAUAAUAUUAGUGGCAUUAUUUUUUUAAAAUAUUUUUUUAUGUGAUAAUAACGUGGUAAUGAUAUGGCAGUGAUGUGGUGAUACGAGAAAGACAACGGAAGGCAUAAAACACACUCCAAAUCAGUCCCCAAUCUUAAGGAUCUGAGGACCAAGAUGGAGACCACUCUCGGAUUCGCUAUCAACAAGAAGAAUACAAGAUACAAUGGUGUAUAUAACAUCAAAAAC
rnacentral:lncRNA from 1 species